UGGUCACAAGUUACAACUUUUCAAUUUCUGCACCUUUUCUAAAACAUAAAAUGGUACGAUUCACAUCCUUUCCAGAUCAAACGAGCUCCAAUGAGAAGUACAAUUUCUAACUUAUGACAUAAUUAAUGAUACUUCAAUAAAUUAAAUGCCCUGCCCUGUUCUUCAGAAAGACCACUGCAGAACAUCUGCAGGCUGCCACCACC
rnacentral:lncRNA from 1 species